GCCCCCUGAGGGGAGCGCAAGCGGGACGGAGCGGGCGGCGGAGGUCCGUUGUGCGGGUGGGUGUCCCGUCGCCUCAGGCGGCGGCGUUGGAGGCGGCAGAAAGCGGCGCUGGGCAGCGCAGCGGGCGUCCGUGCGGUGGCGGUGAGCAGAGCGCCCGCAGACCCCGUCAGCCGCCUGAGCCCGUUCGUUCUGCCGCGCUCGUCGGGUGGAUGGGGUGGCACAGCACGGCCCGAUCGCUGCCACGCUGCUCAAACGGCGAGGGAGGGACAAGUCUUUGAGCUCUACAACAGCAAAGCCCUGGUUACGUGUGAUUUAUGUUUGUGAUGCUUAAUAAAUGCACGUCUGUGUGCGCUUAUGUAACUAUUCAGCAAGGCUCUGCGUACGGACGCCCGGCCGCUGUCGGUUCGCUGUGAGCGCGCAGGCCCAGCGGCAGCGCAGGGAGCGCACCGUGUGAGGGAGGGCAGAGCUGUGUGUGAGCACCAACGGGGUCGGUCACUGCAAAGACACGGUGAAGAAGAGUUAGUGUGGAAUACACAGGAGUCAGAACAGGAGGCAUUUAGAAGAGGCUGAGCUGUGAAGCCCGGGUGCUUGGUGGUACCGGUUUCAUUUCAGUCCAUUGCGAAGGCGGUGUCAACUGAGGUGUUGUGAUUGGAUGCAAAGGAAACAUCUUCCCUGUGAAGACUUUGAAGUGCUGGGGAGGCUUUGAGCACACAGGGACCUCCCAGCCUGAAUUAUCAGUAACAGAAAGAAGGCCGCUAUUUUGUUACCUCAAUAAUGCUAGAAAGGAUUAAGCCAAAAUUGGAUGCAAUAGAGUCAUUAAGGCUGGAAAAGGCCUCCAUGAUCACGUAGUCCAACUUCAGCCCAUCCCCACCAUGCCUGCUGCCCGCGUCCCUCAGUGCCACAGUGACUCCUCCAAGGACGGUGACUCCACCACCUCCCUGCGCAGCCCGUUCCAAUGCAUCACCACUCUUUCCGAGCAGAAUUUUUUCCUAACAUCCAACUCAGAAUCAUCAGUUAGUUUUGCUAUUUAUAAAAACACAAGUUAACUUGAUGGAAAUAGAAGACCCCACGUGACAGAAAAUGGUGGAACACUUGCCCAAGAUGCAGGUCUGUGGUACGUGUGUUAUUUCAUCUUGUUGGUGAUAUUGAUGCUCUGUGAUUACAUGCUGAAAAAUGGCGUGUGCAGAAAUGCAGUUCUUGACUCUUUAAUUGAAGACAGAGUUAAGUCCUGCAGCCCUAAGACACUUUUUCCUAGGAAGAAAUGAAAGUUUCUCCUUAAAAAAAUUCCAACGUUUUAUAGCUUUCAUACCUAUUAGUAAGAAAAGCAAAAACACAACAUAGACCUUAAUUUCCAUUUUCGGUAUCGUUGUACCGCAGUCAAACCUGAGUGAAAAACUUGGAGCAAAACUGCUUUUGUUGGCCGAUGGAAUUUGUUGCAGAAACGUAUGGCAAAGUGCAAGUAAUGGAGAAAUCUGUUUGGUUUCCUGCCAGUCCAGCAUGCAAACACCAAGUGCCUGCAGCAACGCCUUUAGACCAACAUCAGGAAGCUGAGUUACAAUUCCUGUGUGUGAACAGAAGUGAUGAGGUGCUCCCUAGAAACAACAAGGAGAUUAAGCCUAUCUGGGGGAAUUGGUAAGCGGGAAGUGUGAACAGUGCCGUUAGAUUGCAUUACGUGUCUGUACACAUGGGGGGGUCAGUUUUAUUUUCCCAUUUUGAAACGUGAGUUAUUUGUAGAGUUGGUAAGAAAUUUAAAAAAAAAAAAAAUUAUAGCUAAAAAGAAUGAUUCCUCCGAAAAUAAUGGUUAUACAUAAUGUGAACAUAAUCUGCAACAUGUCUGCAAAUGUGGUAAGAAUGAGUUUCUGUAUGUAGAAGUGCAGCUCUGUGGGGGUAGGAUGCUGAAGGCCGUUGGGGUGAGUUAUGCUUGUUUCUGAAGGAACCUUUUUCAGCUGUGAACUGCAGGUUUUGUUUGGCCAACCAUGGUUGCAGCUGCCUCACAUCACCACUAGUGGUCCUGGAAGGCCUGGAAGGGCCUAAUGGUACUCAUAAGAUGUUCCGGGGCUUUGGGCUGAUUUAUUAAACAGAGUUAAUUCAAAAGUGGCAAGCAGUUCUCUUGUUGCUGUAUGAUAUCAGAUCAACAGCAGUCCACGCUUCCCUUGCUGUUGACUCUGCAGUGCAAACAGGAGUAAAAAGCCAGUGCUGGCUUACUGGCCCCAGUGACACCCCCUGAUAUGUCUCCAAAUACUCAUCACUACAAGAGAUGCCCAACUCAGAGCCCUGCAUGUGUUUGACAGUCUGAUUUUUUCUGCUAAACGUAUACAGAGUUUAUACUUGUGUGACUCAUCACUUAACACCAAUCUGCAGCCAUGUUUACGAUUCUUCUGCAAACAUCCUUUAUAUACAUUACUGUGUUGGUUGUUCUGUGAAUUCACUGUUCUACAUGUUUUACAGUUGGAAUGGGAAACCUGAGAGGUUACUCUGGGGACGUUCAGUACUCACAGGCUGGGUGAUCUCAUUGCUAUUACGUAUGUAUGUGGUUAUUUCUCUGCUUUGGGUUUCUGGUCUGAAUUGCAACAUUCUUCUUUCAGUCAUGUUUUCAGUUUAUACACAUAGAAUGUUUAGUGUCAUUAGGAGAAAUAGCGUGGUUUUCAUUUAUUUCUAGUGUAAGUCUUUCCAUGUGUUUUAUGUCCGAUAUGAACUUUGGAGGAUGACAAAACCAGAAGUGUUUUGCUGUUUAGGGCAAAUUCCCAAGACCCAUGUUCCUAAUCACAGUGUGGCUGGAAAAGCCAGAAUGAGGAGCCAUGAAAUGGGACAGACCUGAAGCAAACCACUUGCUUUUCACUGACUCUUCCUUUUCCCUGUAUUUGGACUUAGUUCAGUCUCAUCUUUAUGGGUGGCAGUAGAUAAGCAGGAUAUGCACUUCUGCAUAUCUUAUUUAUGUCUCUUGAUCAGUUCAGUUUGAUAUCCAAGCAAUAGUCUUUCUGUUUUGCUCUAUUAAACUUCAGUGCUUUAGAUCUUUGCUGCAUUUUGUCUUUUGGUUCAGAUUUACCUGUCCUGUGAUGGAUAUUACUUCUGCUAAGCAGUUAUUCUACUUCAGGCCCUGCUCUAGUUUCUUAGAAUCAUAGAAUCAUAGAAUCCUUAGAGUUGGAAGGGACCUCUGAAGGCCAUCUAGUCCAACUUCCCUGCAAUGAACAGGGACAUGCGCAGCUACAUCAGGUUGCCCAGAGCCUGAUCCAGCCUGGCCUUGAAAAUCUGCAGCAAUGGGGCAUCAACCACAUCUCUGGGCAACCUGUGCCAGUGCCUCAUCACCCCUACUGUAGAAGACUUCUUUCUUUUAUCCAACCUAAAUCUAUGCUCUUUAAGCUUGAAUUAGGCCAUUGAAAGGCCAUUUCCCCUUGUUCUGUAACCACAGACCCUGCUAAGGAGCCUGUCCCCUUCUUCCCUGUAGCUCCCCUUUAGAUACUGAAAGACCACUAUCAGGUCACCUCGGAGCCUUCUCUUCUCCAGGCAGAACAGCCCCAGCUCUCUCAGUCUGUCCUCAUAGGAGAGGUGUUCCAUUCCAUGGAACAUUUUUGUACCCUCCUCUGGAUGUACUCCAACAGGUCCAUGUCUCUUCUGCACCGAGGACUCCACAUCUGGAUGCAGUACUCCAGGUGAGGCCUCACCAGUGCAGAGCAGAGGGGCAGGAUCACCUCCUUCACCCUGCUGGCCACGCUUCUUUUGAUGCAGCUCAGGAUAUGGUUGGCUUUCUGGGCUGCAAGGGCACAGUACUGGCUCAUGUCCAGCUUCCCAUCCACCAGCACCCCUAGGUCUUUUUUGGCAGGAUCUUUCUUCUUGCUACCUUUACUUUUUGCAAUGUCUCUUUUGUUUGCCCGUGGCUCAGUAGUAUCAGUUCUCUGGAACUCUCCUUGCACACUGCAGUUUAUUUCUAGUGCCGAUGCUCUCUCAGUCUGAGAAGCUGACGCACUGUGCUCAGUCCUUGCAGCUCUAUCAAUGACAUAACUGAGUUUGAGCUGUAGUUUAUUUAUAGGACUGUGAGAAGCUCAGAAGUUCUCAACAACUUGAGACAGCUUCCAUGUUCACAGACUUACGCCACUACAACCACCAUUUCUACUUACAAGCAAGUGACUUCUUUGGGCUUGUUUAUUAAACUAAGGGCUUUGCCCAUCAUAUCUAUUCCUGGUGAGAAGUUCUGACUUGUGUAGAUCAUAGGACACUUUCUCCUAAAAACUGAUACUCCAAACAAACCCUUUUCAGGUUGCAGAAAACUCCUCAGCCCUGACAUUCUGAACAUGUGAUCCAUGUGACAGAUCCUCUGGGGAUCCUGUAUAGACCAACUGAAUUUCUGUGCUUUAAUGAAUACAGAGUGCUUUGAGCUAUCUGAUUCCUGUUACCUUUCCUCAAGCUCCAGGCCAUUUCUAAAGCAAAAAAAGAAAACAGGAAAAAAAAAAAAAGAAAAGAAAAGAAAGAAAGAAGGAAAAAGAAAUAAAAAAGAUGUUUUAUCCAUGGCUAAAUGCCAGUCAUCCAAUUGUGAGAUUAGAAACAAAAGGUUGCAGGUGAAAAUCUGAUUCUGUGUGAAUUUGUCUUGUAUAUCAAUACCGUGUUAUGAAGCUUCUGAGUGCAGGCUCUGUGGUGUCUCUGACCCAGACCACUCAUUCUAACUAGAACAUCAGUUGACACAUUUCUUAUCUUCGUUUUUUCUGACCCAGAGAACAAACAGAUCCCUGGGGUUUGAUGAGAGAAAUGUUUGAUUUACAUGUUGUAAGUGUUUGUUUUUAAAAGGAUGACUGAGACUGGAAUUUUCCCAUAAGUAACCUCAAAAGAAAUCAUACUUGGGUAGAUGGCUCUAUGUGUAAAUCAGAACAGAGAUACUGGAGGCUUCUUAGGAUGUCCUUGUACUAGAUGGUGCUGAAACAGUGUUCAGAAAUAGAAUUCUGAAGAAGGGUUGGCAGGCUUUCAGUGAAUGGAGCAAGAAAGUGGAAGUGCCCUUACUGCACCAAUUGCUCCCUCCCCCACUUCCACAUAAAUAACAACGUUUACCCAAAUUCUCUUUAGUUUCCUGCCUCUCAGGACACUGCAUGGUAACAUUCCCUGAUGCUCCAUCUCUCGGAGUCUCUGUAAAGGAGAAAAUGCAGCAAUCAUCCUGGCAGGAUGCAGGAAAGCAGCAUUCAGCUAUUUGAAGUUCAAGUCAUUGAUGUAGUCUUUUGUGCAGUAAACAGAAGAAAUAAUGCUGUAGAGAUAAGAUGUUGCUGAAAACUUUAACUCUCAUUUGAAUAUAUUCUGUUCUAAGCAAGAAUAUGCAUAAUCAUAGAAUCACAGAAUCAUAGAAUUGCUCAGGUUGGAAAAGACCUUAAAGAUCACCAAAUCCAACCACAAUCUAACCACACUACCCUAACUAACAGCCCUCCGCUAAAUCCUGUCCCUGGGCACCACAUCUGAACUGUUUUUAAACACAUCUGGGGAUGGAGACUCAACCACCUCCCUGGGGAGCCUAUUCCAGUGCUUAACAACCCUUUUUGUAAAGAAGUUUCUCCUGAUAUCCAACCCAAACUUACCCUGGCGCAACUUAAGGCCAUUUCCCCUCGUCCUGUCACCUGUCACCAGUGAGAAGAGACCAACCCCGCUCUGCUGUAAGCACCUUUCAGGUAUUGGAAGAGAGCAAUAAGGUCUCCCCUCAGCCUCCUUUUCCCCAGACUAAACAGCCCCAGUUCCUUCAGUCUCUAAGUAAUCUUAAUUGUAGAAAUGUUGUCUGUCACAUUUUAAAGUGAUUUUGACACUUCCUACUCUCAGAAAGUGUUCAAGGAGUGUGAACAAAUAUUAUGGCCAAGGAGGCUGUGUAGCAGUACCUGUUCAGCCUCAACACAAUAAAGGAGCCCAAUGUGGACAUGCAGGUGUGUGUGGUUACAGGAAAUUAAAACAAACCACAAGAAACAUCUUUCUUCAAAGUGAUAACUCCUUAAAAAUGCCAUUGCAGUGUUUUUUGUGGGUGUCCUUCAGAGGUAAGAACUCAGAUUUGCUGUUCAAAAGGAAUAAAUCUUGUUGGAUCUGAAUAGUAUGCUUUCUCCAGCUAAUUAUGUGUAUGCCAAAUGUUAUGUUUGUUACAGAAUUAAUGUGUCUUAGAGCAGGUGACUCAGGCAAAAUUGUGGAACUUUCUUUUUGCCCUAAACUUCAGAGGAUGGUCCACAGGGAACUCAAGAGCUAUCGUUCUCUUCUAAGUUCUCGAUGGAAUGACUAGUAUAUUUAACGGGGAGGGAGCUCAUCAUCUAAUGGAUUGACUUUGAGAAUGUAAAUGGAGAACUACAGCACUAAUUUCUAGUGUCUCUUCCCUGAGCUUACUGCCUGACUUUGAGUAAGUCUGUUAAUUUGUAUGUUUGCUUUGCCAUUUGAAUCUUGCAGAAAUAAUAAUGACUUACUGUUGCAGAUGCUUUAAUGGCAAAAAGACAACAAAUUAUUGCGAAUCUGAUCCACAGAAUGAAGGCCAUACUCGGUUUUCAUUUAGACUUAAUUUUUAGACAAAAUCUCCAAGUUUUAACUUAAAACUGAUUAACAGGAUUACCUAUUAUAAUUUUUCUUUAUUGAUGCCUUGCUCUUCUUAUGACUGAAAUGCUUAGAGAUCAGCAGUGAGAAAGUUAACUGUGACAUUCCACUUCAAGUGUAUGGAGACAGACAGACAUCUAAAGGAUUAGUGUCACAAGCACAGGUUUUGAACUUAAGGGAUAUCCAUUGCAGACACGGUUUCCAUGUCACUGAUCAGGAAGUACACUUUUUCCUCUGAGAGCUGGUUGAAAUACUGUCCUUAUCUUCUAUUUACUGAAAUUAGGCCUUUUUAACACAUUGAAAGAUGUUGUUACAAGGGAGGUAUGGUUUGGAGAAGGUUUUUUUCCAGCUAUAUGAGAGCAGCUGUACUUCAUCAGGUUAGUUUGUCUGUCUCUCCCCACAGACUUUUCUUCUAUUAUGCCUGUAGUCCAUCACAUCUGCACCACCAUUACUGUCACUUACAGAUAAAGCUACAGUUUAUAGUAGUUCUACCUGAAUUUCCGUAGCUAUGGUGAUGGCCAUUAGUUGACCCAGAAGCUUUAAAAAGUGAAACAUAAUCUCUGUCAUUUCUGAUUUCCUGUGAUCUGUCCAGGAAGUGUCUCAGAAUGAAAGAAAAGCUAUGAAUUUGCCAGAUAAUGAAUCCGACUCUGUUCACGGUUCUUUCCUGUAGGCAAAAUUAUAGGUUUCUUGUAAACUUAAAGGAAGUGGAGUGAAGGAGUUCACUGGUGUGAUAACAGGAGCGUCCAAAUGGUUGAUUGGUGUUUGAGGAGAAAAUUGGGCUUUGGGCAUUAUUGGUUUUCAGGGAUACUGUAGGGCACUCUACAGUUGACCCUUUGGUCAGUGUGGAUCAGCUGUGCUGGCCAUGUCCCAUAGCAGCCUCCUGUCCAGCCUUGAUGCUGUACAAGCACUGCUUAGCAAUAACUAAAACACCUCUGCAUUAUCAACGCUUCUUUGGUCAUAAAUCUAAACCACAGCACCAUAUGGGCUGUUAGGGAGAGAAUUAGCUCCAUCCCAAGCAGAGUUACUCCAAGAAGAGAUGCUGAAGGACACCGCUGUUUUGGAGCAUUUGAAGGCUCUUUCAAGUUUCAUUUAAAAGAAAGCAAUGAUUUUUUUCCUCCAUUCUAGAAUGAGGAAAGCUGAAAUAGUGAGCAUGAAUGCUUCAGCUACAAAACAGCAAAAAGGCUUUGGAAAAGAGUGCAAAGAGGCAACUUUAUGGAUGUCAGAUAGUAGGGCCAGAGUUCCUGUGUGACUGUUGCUGAUAGAAAAAAUGGUGUUUAGAACAGAAAACAAUUAUUGUUUCCUCCCUGUGUUCACUUACAGAUUAAUGCCAACCUGUACCAGAAGGUUUUAUUUGAAGUAAAAUUUUCAGUCUCUCCUUUUCCCAUCUCUGGUAGUAAUGUCUCCAACCUCAGCAACCAUUCAAAAGUGUGUCUCCUGCACAUCAGUGUAGCCAAAUGAAACCAGAUUCUGCAAGAACAACACCUUCAAAAUGUAUUGGCAUAUCUCCAUAACAGCUGCAGAAUGUUUUUGCCACAAUUGAGCCAUGAUGCUGUCAUGCCAGAGGCUUUUCUGUAGCAAUUCUGGCAGAGCACAUGGCAUUCAAAGAGCUGUUUUCUUAAGGGUCAUCCCUGUGUGUUUAUUCCUGUAUUUUGUAGAGCAGUGAGGUGCUGUUUGUGCAGGUUGUGGAGCUAGCAAAUGCUGUGCUGCUGUCAGUACAGAGCUGGGCUCUGCUGGGCUGCUGCUGGCACUAUGGGAAAUGCACAGUCUGUUUCUCACUGAGGCACAACAGCAAGAGGAGUUUGCCCAAACUGCUGAUGCUGAUCUGGUCUGUAUCUCUCUCUGUGGCUCCUGGCUUGUCUUUAGGCUGGGUAGUUGAAUGAAACACAUUGUGAGAUGUGGUGAAAUGGCUAAGUGGAGCCUUUCAGAAAGCAUAUCACACUCAGGAUGGUGGGGGAUGGCAACAGUGUAUUACUCCUGUUAAUUCAGAAAGGUGACCCUGGGCAGUGUGAACAAAUGUCUCCCAUUUGAGUUUUGAUUUCAAGUCUGCUAGGGAGAUGUUCUUCGUUUUCCCAGCAUGUGCAUUACUGUUUUGAAAGUGAUACGGUGUUGAUGUUUGGGAAAGAUAAGUUGGGCAGAUAAGUGCGUGCAGCAACUGGUAUGGAAGCAAAGUGGGAAAUACCCACACCUCUUGUGUUGGACACGAGUAUGUGCUUUGACUCGUGGUGGUGAUCCAAAGAGCACUGUAAGUGGUUCAUACACAGAGGCCAUCCUGCCACGGACAUGGAAUGUGCCAUCCUGUCCUACUGCCCUGAGGUGUUGAAGGUGUCUGUUGUAUCAAAGUAUCCACGAUAAAGAAGGGGUUGCUUUGUGUCCUCUACGUUUGUUCUCACAGCCUGAGGCACGUAGCAUGUUUCCUGGCAGAUGGUUUUGAACCUGUAUCCUAUGCUCAGCACAUUCACUUUCACAAGAGUUGUUUGUGUGUGUGUUGCACUGUAUAAGUGAGAAGAGAAAGAUGAAAAUUUGCUUUACAUAUGAAACCGAUGAGCCCGUGUUUACUGAGAGGAUUGGCAGCACUUAUCACCAUCACUUUUUUGGUAUUUCACUUUCCAGAACUGCUGUCAGACAUCACUAAUUGUGUGUCAGGAGGUCAGCAUUUAUACACUGACAUCCUGCCACGUGUGCAGCCUUCCACAAAUGGCUCUCCCUCUGUAAAGAACAUCUCUACUUGGAUGCACUUAAUUUUUCGUAUUAAUCUGUGAGUCGUGUUGGUGUUUGGUUGAGUGUCAUAUCACAGUGAUCUGCAUACGAUAGUAAGGCUAUUUAAAGUCUGUUCAGUGAAUCCGGGUGCAUUGCUUCUUGGAUGUUUACUGGGAAAAUGAAGUACGAUGCACUUUUCGGAUGUGAUGCUGGACUCCAUUCAGUUUGCAGUGUUCUGAACCUUAUUUUCAAUUGUAUUUUUGUGCAGCAGAACACUGAGCACUCGAGUCUGUGUGCCAGGCAAGAGAAGCAGAAGCUGUAAGCGGGCAGCCCGAGCUCUGACGUUUCGGUGCACAAGAACAUGUCACGUUUCUCGUUCUGGAGGUCCCCUGUUCAGCCCUUGAUGUGUCAGGCAGGAAAGUGGCAGUCACAGCUGUGCUCGUGACUUUCUAAAAUGUUCUUGUCACUGGAAGAAGUUGGACUGAACCUGGGCAUAACCACAGCAGUGCCAUUACAGGAAAACUGCAGAGAAAAUUUGGUAUAGGUAAGGGUAGUGAGACUGAAGCACAUACUGAGUCAUAGGCUCUAGAAAAUUUAUAGGAUGCUGUUUGUAUGCCUUUCCCGUUUGCAUGACGCUGCACACCGAGAGAGAAGUGAUUCCCCGGGCUGAGAAUGACUCUGCAGUUGUGUGAUUGCUUUCCUGAGCCAGAUGGGUUUAAAAAUAGCUCUGCUUACUCAGAUGCAGCUGAUGAUUGAAGAAAAAUACCGCUCCGUGGUAAGGAUGGAACACCUAGUGUUUGUUUCCCAUAACCACAGCAAACAGAAAGCAAAGUGAAAAAGAAUUAAGGAGAGAACUCACAGCUUGUUUUUGGCAUUUGGGUUGGGUCCUUUGCGAGAACGAGCUCUUCAUAUUCCUUCUGACCUGUUCACGUCAAAUGGCUUUAAUAGGCACUAAGGUGCAGCGUACAGAAGAUCCCACAGACUUAAUGCAUCAUUCCCAUAUAAAGACAGAUUUUCCCAUAAAAAUUAAUGACAAAGCUUUUGAAAGAAACACUCUUCUGAUGUAAACAUUUCGGAGUCAAAACUUUGUUAGAAUUGCAUUUUAAAUAUUACAUAGAAAUUAUUGGGUCGUCUUAAGAGCUGGUUUUAUAUCAUUGGUUGACAGCUGUGUGCUUGCAUAGGCACACACAGUGUAUGUCUUACUGUGUGGUCUUUGCAAAUAUAGCACAGAAGUGGUACCACGUGCUGUAGGAAUAUGGAUGAGGAGUUCAGUUCAGUUGAGAACACUCAUGAAUUUUUUGGAGGUUUCUCUGGAGCCAUAGGUAAGAAUUGAGUUAUUGAUGACUGAAUACACUAACAAUAAUCUGGUUUUCUUUGGAGCAGUUUCAUAGCAAAACAUUGUGGAUCGCAUUCACAAUCCCUUAUGCCCCUUUCCUUCAGAUGCUCCAUGAGUUGCUGCAUUGAAAAAAAACUGAAAUGGAAGUAAUUCUACUGUGUUUUUGCUUUUUUUUUUUUUUCGCCCCAGUAACACUGGGAUGAUUCAUGGAGAGGUCAGGAACCAGAGGCCAUUUCUGUGUCCCUUGGACAGGACAGACCAAGCUUUCAGCUGACUGGGUGCCAGCACAUCACAUCAUGAUAGGUUUCAAGAUCACUUUCUGGUUGUUUUUCUCCACAAAUCAAAAGGGAUGGGAAGAUUCCUGUAGUUAGCACAGAAAAACGACUUCUGAGAAAUCCUCAAGCUGAAUUGCUUACAAGGGUGAAAUACUGGGUUGCAUUUACUUGUGGCCCACAGGAUCUUAUUAUUUAAAGGAGCAUUUCUGUGGUAGUUCUUGGUGAGAAAAGCUCUGCUUGGGCUUCAAUAAAUGAAACAAGCAGGUUCUGGAAAUCUUGAUCUUUAUUGAGCUGUCAUGGUACUCAAAACAAAAAGAAGUUAUUUCUGUGUUAAUACAGAUUUAUGAGUUCUGUAAUACAAAGAGGUCCUAAUCAUAUUUUACAGUAAGAUUUGUAAACAUUUCCCCAUUAGCAAUUGUUCCUUUUCUCUGUCUCACUUUUGUACUUUUUGUGAUCUAAAUAGGGGACUCUGACAUGUGUGGUUUUCAGUAAACUAAAAGGAAGUGCAUGCAGUGAGCUUACCAGGCGUGUCACCUCAAGAAGUAAGUUGGCUUGUCUCAUUGUUGUAGAAGCUGAUUUCUCAUUCAACAGAAAAAGAAGAAUCCUUAUUGCCUAAUUAAUAAAUGUGUUCAGUAGAGCCCUUUAUAAAGUGUUGAACAAAGCAAAGCAUACAUCGUAACUGGUUACCAGGAAACUGCUACAGAUAGAAUCUAUCACUUCUUAAAUACUGAUGUUUGUUCAAACUUGUGAUAUAUAUGCAACACUAAAGUCAAGUUAGCUGUUUAUUUGGCUCAGUGGAAAUAUACUGCAAAUUGCUAUUGUUUAUAGCAAUUGUGGUGAUAAUGUUCCUUAGCAUUCUUCAUCUGCUCAUGAAGCUGCUUACAAAAGAUCAGUAAGUGUAAGUCAGCUCUGAAGUGUAACUCCUGUUAGUGGUAGUAAGCCCUGGAUGAAGAGAAAUGAAGGGACAAUUAGAAGCACAGGCAGAGGAAAUCAGGUACAGUAAAACGUAAAGCAGCUGAAAUAGAGAAGAGUGUUAUCUAGAUAUAAAAUUCUGGAGGUUGCUGUUUUUUGGAACUAACGCAGUAAGCAAGAGACCAAGUGGAAUGCUCUGUGCUACCUAUUGGUUGUAAAGAUCCGUAGUUGUGCUUCAUAAGCACGUUCUGACAGUAGCACUCAUAUUUCCAUGCUAUCUCCAUGUGUUUUCUGUAGAAAGCAGAUAGAUGUGAAUCAGAAACAUCAAGCCAACUGAAGCCGGUGCACCAAUAGGACAAUGUGCUCUUCUGCAGGUUCUGCCUGUCACCAUUUUCCCAUAAUAAAUGUUACACUUUACGCCCUGCCUCCCACUUUCCUUUUAUGUUACCAGUAAAGGCUACCCUGUUUUUAGUAAUACUCUUUACUGUAGCCAAUGUAGGGAAGACUUCCACUUUCCUUCUAGAGAGGAGAGGUUCGGUUCUUCUUCUCCCUGAUUUUUCUUUCUCAUCUCAUUUCAAAUAACCCCAACCUCUAUUUCAGAUCUGAUUAAUUUAAACAUAGCACGGGAAAGCCAUUGAAAGUAGAUUUAUCGUUCAUCAGAGCUGAUAGUCAGCCUGUAUCUGUUGUCUUUUCCCACAAUUGCUCAGGUUUCUGUUUCUGUCCUGCACUCUCAUGUUCAGCCCUGCUGCUUUCCUUCUAUUAUUACAGUGUUACCAAAGCUGCUGGUGGACGUUAAUAUAGUACUGGUUUAUUUCAAAGGAACUUCAAAAAGCCUCCAUCUGAUGGCUGAGAAAUCAAACUGAGCUUAUGGAAGGAGCUGAGAAGUGAUGCUGUUAAAAAAAAACCCUCAGCUACUGUCAUCAGUUUCAGUAAACUGCUGAUCUAAAGAACAUCAGGUAGCGGAAGGCUGUGUUAACCUUGCAACUGUUGAUCAUCUUCAUUUGUAAGAGUGAGAUUUUUCAUUGAACAUCCUUUAAUAUAUUGGCAAUGGAGUGCUACACCAAAUCUCAGCUUCCUUGCUUUCCUUGUGGCUGGUGUUUUGGGUGCCAGGAAGCAGCUGGGACUCCUGGCAAGGAGAAAGGAAAGGGCAAGUAGCAGAGUGGACAUUCUGACUGCUCUAUUUCCCUUCCUUUUUGCAGCAUUUCUGAGUUCUUUGAUUUGGAAAGCCAGUUAUUUUGUAUUAUAUGUCUCUUUUCUGAUCCAUGGAGAAGUUCUGGGCUUUGUCCAGGUUGCUGGGCAUCUGGAUGCUGCAGGUUUGGUUUUCUGCUUCUUACUUUUGAAAGGACAGCAGAGCCAGCAGGAACGGAGCUGUUUUGCAUCUUCUGCUCAGAAGCAAUUUGAUCUCAACAACUUUUCAUAAUCAAUGCCUUCCAUAUGGUUUGAAGUGAUUUUAUGUGACUUCCUCAUACACCAAUAUCACCUAAUUUGUUUGACUCAAUAAAUGAAAAACAGAAAUGGCUUUAAAUGAUAAGACGUUGAGUGGAGAGCCAAAGUAUAAAAUGCUGAGCAGGUCAGUUCUCCUUUUGCUUCUUCAUGGCUGAAUGCUGUAAUUAGAUGGAUUAAAUUUUCCCCUCUCAAUUUAAUCCUACCAGGAGAAUUGCAUUACCCAGCCAGCACCCUCCUCUAGCUGGUAUUGCAGAUCCGGUAAUUGACUGUGGACAGAGAGAGAAGGCACUGUGCAUGGGUUUGUUCAGGGACUCUCAGAUCCAUCGCGUGAGUCACCCAUAGGAGAAACCCUUCUGGAUAAUGCUUCUUUUGUCUGUACAUAUUGGUGUGUAUUUUGAAUUUUGCUUUGUUUGCUUUUCCCACACAUUCAUCGGAACCGCAAUAAUAAAGAGAUUAUCUUUCUUCUUUUCCCAA